UCAACAAGUCUGGUAUUCACUUCACGUAGUAGUUUUGUGAUGGGAACGUUUUGACCUUUAUUUUUAUUAUACAGAUGUGUACCCUGUUUUCGAUUCAAGUUUUAACACCAAUCACCAGAAGGAAGCGUGAAAGCAGUGCCCUUUUUGAUGUUCCUUUGAAAAUUUCACACCAUCUGUCUUCCUCAGAUGUGGUAUUCUUUUCAAUUUCUUCUCGGUUCGCCGCAACAACAGUGACCGGUGCACCCGAAGAUACUUUGAGACGCUUUUACUUCCCCAUAAGGAGGGGAGGGCCUAGUGAUUAAGUAGGAAGGAGUAGU